rnacentral:tRNA from 1 species
GCCACCUUAGCUCAGUUGGUAGAGCGUAUCAUUCGUAACGAUAAGGUCCGCAGUUCAAUCCUGCGAGGUGGCU